CAGAACUUGAUCGGCUGCUGGCUGUCUUUACUUCCUGAUACAACUAAGCCCUUUGUUGGAUGCCAGUCAACACAUUUCACAUCUGCUCCAUGUCCUCGAAGAAUUCUCUCCUCAUGGCAACGUAGAAAGUCCCAGAUUCUAACAGUGCCGUCGUCAGAGCAUGUAGCAAAUUUAUUAUCCGUGGGUGAGAAACUGGCCUCUCUAAUCGCCUCCUUAUGUGCCUGGAACAUCUUGACGUUGUUCAUGUUGGACUGCCAGUAUUUCAC
rnacentral:lncRNA from 1 species